CCACUUUCCCCUCUGCCGCCGCAUCGCCGCGAGGUAGGUGGCGGCCGCUCGACUCCGCCUGCCGCAUCAGUCCCUCUCCCCUCCACUCAUCUCUCCUGUCCAGUCACUCGCCAGCUCUCGCCCUCUCACCCCCCACACCCGCCGCAUCACGGCGCACAUCGCCGAGCCCGCAACCAGCACGCCAUCUUGCCGCGACCACCAUACCAGUCUCUGGCGCCACCUCUCGCCCUCCCACCUCCCCCGCCGCAUCGCGGCGCACGUCGCCGAGCCCGCAACCACCGCACCAGUCUCCGGCUUCACCUCUCGCCCUCUGACCUCCCCCCGCCGCAUCGCGGCGCGCGUCGCCGAGCCUGCAACCACCGCGCCAUCUAGCCGCGACCACCACUCCAUGCUUCGGCGAGACUUGUGCGACUGCUGUCGACGCACGCAUGGAGCUUCAUCGCCCAGACGCUGGUGCUGGAUCCGUUCGCCCUCCGGUCGGAUCCGCGGCGGUGCUAGUCUCUGGCGAGUUCGAUGGUGGAUUCGCAGCGUGGUGCCUGGAUCUACAACGCCAGCAGCUCCGGUACGCAGAUCCGACCCCUUUCCUCCUCUACUUUUCUUUUUGAUGAUUCCUGAACUGAUCUCCUACUCGCUGUUCUAUCGAGGUGCCGUGACCCGGCCUCACAGGCAAGGCCAGGGCGAAGACUGCUCCCCGACGGCCAAGACAUGGCCACGGUGGUGCAGCCUGUGGUCUACAUCGCCUACCACUCAGCCGUCUUCUGGAACCCCCACCACUUCCGCGGCAAGAUCUCCCAUGGCGUGGACGAGACGGCGACGUCGGCAGGAGGGCACUUUGCAGCCCCUGGCCCGAGGAGGAUGGGCGCACAUAGCCACCAAGCCCUCUGCUCCUCUUCUUCCAAGGCGAGCGAUCAAGGGUACCGAGCUCGACGGGUCCAGCCUGGCCACCACGACGCAUUGCUCUCAGCAGGUGUUGGGUAAGAUCAGGUUUGAGACCCUGACCAAGUCCUCGUGAACAACCUUGGUACCAUUGCAAGGUUGGUCCUGAAGGAUUUCAUGGAGGCUGUAGCUGCUGGCAUCGACGUGUCCAUGAUUGGUCAGUUUGGUGUCAGUUUCUACUCCGCUUACCUUGUUAAUGAGUAGUAUGUGUGGGAGUCCCAGGAUGGUGGCUCCUUCACUGUGAGACAUGAUACUACUGGAGAGCCCCUUGGAAGGGGUACUAAGAUAACCCUAUACCUCAAGGACAAUCAGCAAGCGGAGGAGAAACCGAAGGCUCUCUUGGUUAGUAUGGUUCCAUGAAAUUUCUGGCAAUGGGAGCAGCAUAAUUGACUUGGCUUCUAAACAACUAAUUACCAAGAAAGAGGCAUGCUACGGUAAUUACUGUUGUGGUCUUGUAUACCCUCAUAAUUAUUGUUGUUGUCGUCAUGUAUAAAUAGCCAGAUUCUUUUUUGGUUUUUUCUUCGGCGUCGAUGAGCACUGUAGCUCGGAGGAGGCCACCAUGGAGCUGAUGCCACCUCGGCAAACAAAACCUGUGCAUAACGAGAAUGACAAGGCGCGCCAAUACUACAGAGGAGCUGAACCAUAGUGAGGUAUUAAUUUUAAGUAGCAAUAUUGGUUGCUAGCAUAGGAAAGGUUUGACGUAUCUGUCCACCUUUUAAAAUAUAAGUAUCUAAAUAUUGAAUAAUGAUUAUAGUGUUCUAAGACUAUAUAUAGGUAUUUAUCCACACUUUGCUUUAAGAAUCACGCAUCGUUUUCUUCAUCUUGCUAGCUCCAGUUUGUUGCAGAGGAACUAUAGUGAUCUAUGACCGGACUUCCUGUUGAUUUAGUGAUUUAUGAUUCCUACAAGUAUAUAGGAAUAUUUUAGCUCCAUCAUAGGAAAAAUAAUCUGAAAUAGAGUUUCGGUGAACUUGAAUAUCAUGGCGUGCACUUGCUUCAUUUACCUAGUUAACAAUAAAAAGGCCAAGUCUUUCAUAUUGAAAUGGCAUUUUUUUGUUCAACAUGAUAUUGUGAUUCUAGCCUCAUUUAGUCUGUGUUGCAGGUUAAGAAAUUUACAAUUUAAAAAUUAAUAAACCAGUGAUCCCCUUCCUAUAGUAAAAAAUGCUUAUCAAGAAUCCUGAUAUUACAAAAAACAAUCAAUGGUUAUGUAAAAUACAUAAUAUUCACUGUUGUUGGCAUUUUCACAAUUAGCUUGAAUUUAUCUCACUGCAAUUCAUUGCUCAUGGCUUCUAUUGGCUUUUCUGUUUUGAAUGUUCUCUUUCUUUAGGAAUCUGGCUAUGUGGCUAUUGUUUGGUGCUAACCGUUGUGAUAAGUCAUAUUAUAUCUUGUGUCAAUAGUUUGUAUAAUUUUUUGCAUCAUUUGCACUCAUACACCUUUUUUAAUGAUGGCUAUAUGGGGAGGGCAUGUACGUGCAACUGUGGAAUGAUAACCCAAACCACCUCAAUCAGAAAGGGGAGGCCAAAAUAUGAUAUGGUUUAGUACCAGUUGAUUGAGCAACAAAAGGUAUGGCUGUUGUGAUGGCCGAAAGAAGAGCAAUGAGGGGGAGGAGGGAUGGCAGAGGAGGUUCACAUAUAUAGGGACAGAUAAAAAAUAAUAAGCGUUUAUUCGCUAGCUGGAAUUUAAGGCAACGGCGAGAGAGGAAGAUCAAGGACAACUUCAGGAUUAAAUAGUAUAUGCAAGAUACGUGCAAUAUGACCUUCAUAUGUUUAUUUAAUAUUGUAUAGCUGGAAUGUGAUUAUUUUUGAAGAAUAAAGUAUACAUCGUAUCGUAUAACAGUGCGUGUAUG